rnacentral:piRNA from 1 species
UGUGAUGAUGAGGCGGGCAGUUAACGCGA